AUUGAACGCUGGCGGCAUGCUUUACACAUGCAAGUCGAACGGUAACAGGCCUUCGGGUGCUGACGAGUGGCGAACGGGUGAGUAAUGCAUCGGAACGUACCCAGAGGUGGGGGAUAACGCAGCGAAAGCUGUGCUAAUACCGCAUGUGAUCUGAGGAUGAAAGCGGGGGACCGAGCAGCAAUGUUUGGCCUCGCGCCUUUGGAGCGGCCGAUGUCGGAUUAGCUAGUUGGUGGGGUAAAGGCCUACCAAGUGGACGAUCCGUAGCUGGUCUGAGUGGCCGACCAGCCACAUUGGGACGGAGACAGGGACCAGACUCCUACGGGAGGCAGCAGUGGGGAAUUUUGGACAGUGGGCGCAAGCCUGGUCCAGCAAUGCCGCGUGCGAGAAGGAGGCCUUCGGUUUGUAAUCCGCUUUUUGGAGGAGCGAAACGGUGUCCGCUAAUACCGGGCGCUAAUGACGGUACCUGGAAAAUAAGCACCGGCUAACUACGUG
rnacentral:rRNA from 1 species